rnacentral:rRNA from 1 species
AUGGUGCUUGUCUACACUGCGCAAUCUUUAUGUAAAGCAAACAUCUAUAGUUUCUGUCCAUUUGUCUGUAAUGGUGUGGCUAUUCAUUUGUUCGAUGUAAUAAUGCUUUGUAGACUACAGACAUGGCUGUGCAGCAAUCGCCCUGAUCCAUGUCACAAUAUUUGCCCUCAUCCUUCCAUUGCGCAGUAUUUGUCCACGCUAUUUGUGCUUGUUGUUGAUGAUGCAUUUAAUACUUGUCCAAUAGCAAUAGUCACAACCAUUGUUCAACUUUGUCGGAUAUUACUCAUACUUUGUCGGAACAUACCAGAUAAAUUUCCUAGAAAUGGGAUUCAUGACACAGUAAUAAUCACAAUAUAA